CAGUAGCGUAUAUUAAAGUUGUUGCAGUUAAAAAGCUCGUAGUUGGAUUUCUGGUACGCUGCGCCUGGCCCGCCCACGUUAGUGGUGUGAGUGUCGGUGCGCGGUUGCCAUCCUUUCAGAGAAGACGUGUCUACCUUUAAUUAGGCCGGGCUACGGGAUCUAGAUCAUUUACUUUGAAAAAUUAGAGUGUUUAAAGCAGGCUUUUGCUGUGAAUACAUUAGCAUGGAAUAAUAAUCUAGGACUUCGGUUCUAUUUUGUUGGUUUCUAGUACUGAAGUAAUGAUUGAUAGGGAUAGUUGGGGUGCUAGUAUUGGCCGGCCAGAGGU
rnacentral:rRNA from 1 species